UACGUAGGGCGCAAGCGUUGUCCGGAAUUAUUGGGCGUAAAGAGCUCGUAGGCGGCUUGUCACGUCGGGUGUGAAAGCCCGGGGCUUAACCCCGGGUCUGCAUUCGAUACGGGCAGGCUAGAGUGUGGUAGGGGAGAUCGGAAUUCCUGGUGUAGCGGUGAAAAUGCGCAGAUAUCAGGAGGAACACCGGUGGCGAAGGCGGACUCUGGGCCAUUUUACUGACGCUGAGGAGCGAAAAGCGUGGGGAGCGAACAGG
rnacentral:rRNA from 1 species